GACGAACGCUGGCGGCGUGCUUAACACAUGCAAGUCGAACGAUGAAGAAAAGAAUUGAAGCUUCGGCAGAAAUUCAUUUCGGAUUAGUGGCAGACGGGUGAGUAACGCGUGAGCAACCUACCUCUUACAAAGGGAUAGCCUCGGGAAACCGGGAUUAAUAGCAUAUAACAUUGCGACGAAGCAUUUCGAUGCAAUCAAAGCUACGGCGGUAAGAGAUGGGCUCGCGUCCCAUUCACCAGAUGGUGAGGUAACGGCUCACCAUAGUAACGAUGGGUAACCGGCCUGAGAGGGUGAACGGUCACACUGGAACUGAGACACGGUCCAGACUCCUACGGGAGGCAGCAGUGGGGAAUAUUGCACAAUGGAGGGAACUCUGAUGCAGCGACGCCGCGUGAGUGAUGAAGGAAUUCGUUUCGUAAAACUCUGUUCUAUGGGAAGAAAAGGACUGUACCAUAGGAGAAAGCUCCGGCUAAAUACGUG
rnacentral:rRNA from 1 species